UGAGAACAUGAUACUUUCUUGGUUUCACACCCCUUAUCUGGACCAGUCGAUCAGUAAUCCAUACCAUAGAUUGAAUGACGACUAUCUUCUCCAUGUGGUGUUUGGAAGUUGAAAUUUGGACCCAGAAAAUCGUAAUUUCAAGCCAAAAUUAAAGGAUUUCAUCCACAGGAUGAGGUGAUAGGUCAUCGUCAUGGUGUAUGGAAACAUUCCCUCCCACAUUAAGGCACCAGAGGGUGUUGUAUUAAAGCCCUCCAAAGUUGAUCGAAGGUUGAUUGGUGCCUGGUGUACAAAUGUUGUCAAGCAAGGAUCUUUAUUUGGACCAUUCAAAGGAGAAAUUGUCAAAGAAAA